GGCGGACGGGUUGAGUAACGCGUUGGGAACGUGCCCUUCUCUAUGGAAUAGCCACUGGAAACGGUGAGUAAUACCAUAUACGCCCUUCGGGGGAAAGAUUUAUCGGAGAAGGAUCGGCCCGCGUUAGAUUAGGUAGUUGGUGGGGUAAUGGCCUACCAAGCCUACGAUCUAUAGCUGGUUUUAGAGGAUGAUCAGCCACACUGGGACUGAGACACGGCCCAGACUCCUACGGGAGGCAGCAGUGGGGAAUCUUAGACAAUGGGCGCAAGCCUGAUCUAGCCAUGCCGCGUGAGUGAUGAAGGCCUUAGGGUCGUAAAGCUCUUUCGCCAGAGAUGAUAAUGACAGUAUCUGGUAAAGAAACCCCGGCUAACUCCGUGCCAGCAGCCGCGGUAAUACGGAGGGGGUUAGCGUUGUUCGGAAUUACUGGGCGUAAAGCGCAC
rnacentral:rRNA from 1 species